rnacentral:lncRNA from 1 species
AUUUAAAAUGUUGCACUUCAUUUAAUUGGAAAUCUGCUGGGCUUUUUGCAACGCUUUUUCAAAUCGGUAGCGUGAUAUGUGUACUUUGUUUUUUUCUUCUUUACGAUAGACUGUGAUUUUGGUCUGACAGAUUAAAUUAAAUGGGUUUUCUAAAUUUGUUGUGUUUACUGAUCAUAAACAGACACCCUCUCCGACUUCAACAUUUUCAUAUUUUAUUUCUAGGGUUCAUAGUGUUC